UUUCGCAAUGCCCGAAAGGGUGACGAAGCGACGCCGCGUGGGUGAGGAAGGCCUUCGGGUUGUAAAGCCCUGUCAGGAGUUAUGAAAUGUAGGUGCGCUAAUAUCGUGCUUAUUUGACAAAGGCUCCAAAGGAAGCCACGGCUAACUCUGUGCCAGCAGCCGCGGUAAUACGGAGGUGGCGAGCGUUGUUCGGAAUUAUUGGGCGUAAAGAGCACGUAGGUGGGUUUGCAAGUCAGAUGUGAAAGCCUUCUGUUCAACGGAAGAAUUGCAUCUGAAACUGCUAAUCUUGAGUAUAGGAGGGGAGAAUGGAACUUCUGGUGGAGCGGUGAAAUGCGUAGAUAUCAGAAGGAACGCCGGCGGCGAAAGCGAUUCUCUGGCCUAUUACUGACACUCAGUGUGCGAAAGCUAGGGGAGCAAACGGGAUUAGAUACCCCGGUAGUCCUAGCCGUAAACGAUGGGCACUAAGUAGAGGGGUUUUA
rnacentral:rRNA from 1 species